UACAGAGGGUGCAAGCGUUGUUCGGAAUUAUUGGGCGUAAAGGGCGCGUAGGCGGCCUUGCAAGUGACGGGUGAAAUCCCUCGGCUUAACCGAGGAACUGCCUGUCAAACUGCGUGGCUUGAGACCAGGAGAGGUGAGUGGAAUUCCCAGUGUAGCGGUGAAAUGCGUAGAUAUUGGGAGGAACACCAGUGGCGAAGGCGGCUCACUGGACUGGUACUGACGCUGAUGCGCGAAAGCGUGGGGAGCAAACAGG
rnacentral:rRNA from 1 species